GCGCGGAGCUGUCAAACUGUUUGCGACCUUGAAAAACAAAACAAAAUUGCUUUAACCGUCUCGGUCUCGCUGCGCUAAAUUGUCGAGUGAAAAUUGAUAUGCUGGUGUGACGAUUCCAUCAGCAUCAUUUCCACCGUCGCCAGUGCACUGUCCCUCAUGGGAACUUGGAUAUCCAGAGAUGAUGGACAUAAUCCUCGAUUGCCAACAUUGUCAAACCUCCGCUUGGCCCGGUCGGGUUGGACGAAAUUCUGAUGGAGGGCAACGAGACUAUCAUCAACGAUGGAGCCCAGCUUAUAGAUUGUCGUCAUCGCCGCUGGGUUGCUAAAAAAUGCUGGCUAGCCGCCGAUCACCUGGCCUCCCUCGUUGGACGAGUUAGGUCGUGAAACGCCCAUCAACGAGCUGAUCCGGAUAAGUGUACCAAAUCCAAGUACGACUUCGCACACCCAAGAACAAGGCCAGCGACGAAUUUGCCAAAUCGUUUUGGAGAAUGUUAUUCAAGAAACCCGAUCGUCAGCAUUACCAAUAACACCAUCGAACUUGAGGCCAAGCUGCCGAUCUACCAAAUUACAGCCAGACCCGCGAUCACGCCGGAUUCUAUCGUAAUAAUCUAAUGUUACCUAAAUUCUACAGGUCUCAUUGCACGUAAUUAUGGAGCUGCAACGGUGACAACAGCGGCAGCAGCCAAAGUAGGCUAUCGUCGGCAGAAGCGCAAGAUCUGCGCGGAUUCCGAGAAAGAAGAAGCGGCUGGUGUACUAUAUUAGUACAACUUCGAAGAUCCGGAUUGCAGUGACAACGAAUCUGCCGAGGAUAUCAGGAGCAACGCGUCAGGUCCAUGGUUCCCGUAGAGCAUCCACACGCCUGGGACUACCGACGAUACUCCUCUCUGUCUGCUCCGGGCUAACCACUACCGGCGAUGUGUUAGGUCUCAUGAUUACAAACGAGCUAGUGUGAAUUGGACACAUAGGUCCAAGGGCCGUCACUACGCGGGGCAGGUCGCGGCCACCUUCGAUGAGAGAGAGAGGCGGAUUCACAAAUCAAGGUGGCGCCCCGGCGAAGAAAAAUGACCAAAUUUGUAAUGUUGUAAUUAUCCGGCAUGGCCUGCUGCACGGACAGCUGCCAGGCUCUCUUGUACCGCGGACGUCGUAGCGACCAACACAAGACAAGAAGACGACGACGAUGAUGAUGAUGGUUCAAAGAUCGAUGGCCAAAAAGCCCGCGUCUUCCGACGUUGAACUCCGCACACGUACAGUGUGUGGUGUGCAUGUGGUGCACACCAAACACACAAACGCACACAAACACGUGUGUGCUCAAAUAGAUGUGCACCGUGCGCGCAAUUUACACACAUAAAUCCCGCGACGGUGAGCGAAACCUUCCCGAAGGGAACCCUCCGCGGGCGAAGAAGUUAAGAAAGAAACUCUAAAAGAAGCAAUCGCGGUAAAGGUAAAGAAAGCAACAAGAAAAGCUGAACAAAAAAAACCUAAGAAAAACUAAAACGAGAUAAACUAAAAUGCAAGUAAUCGCUAAAACGCUGAAAAAGAACAACACAGAAAUAAAAAGAACAGCAAACAAAAAGAAAGGAAACAAAACUCGCGAAUCGUACCAACUAAAAAAAAAAACUAGUCAAAAAAGACCCUUAAACGCGAAUUUGCUGUGUGCUCGCGCGAACAGCACAACAACUGGACUAACGAGUUUGCCGCUGUGGCCAAGACUGACGGCCGGCGAUCGUGCGCUCGAGACCGCGGACGGCGGACGGAGAAUUGAAUGAACGCCUGCAGCGGCAGACGGGCACUCAGGACCGGUUGG